GGUGAGGAGGAGGAGGGUGCUGAUGGUGAAGGGGAGGGAAGUUAUGAUGAUGAUGGUAGGGAUAAUGAUGCUGAAGAUAACAAUGAUGGUGAUGAUGGUGGAGGUGACAGUGAAGGUGGUGAUGAUGGUGAUGGUGGAAGUGAUGGUCAUGGUGGUGGAGAUGACGGUAAAGAUGGUGGAGUGACUGUGAUGAUGGUGGAAGUGACGGUCAUGAUGGUGGAGAUGACGGUAAAGAUAGUGGAGGUGACUGUGAUGCUGGUGGAGGUGAUGGUCAUGAUGGUGGAGAUGACGGUAAAGAUGGUGGAGGUGACUGUGAUGAUGGUGGAAGUGACGGUAAAGAUGGUGGAUGUGACUGUGAUGAUGGUGGAAGUGAUGGUAAAGAUGGUGGAGGUGACGGUAAAGAUGUGGAGGUGACGGUAAAGAUGGUGGAAGUGACGGUAAAGAUGGUGGAGGUGAUGGUCAUGAUGGAGAUGACGGUAAAGAUGGUGGAGGUGACUGUGAUGAUGGUGGAAGUGAUGAUCAUGAUGGUGGAGAUGACGGUAAAGAUGGUGGAGGUGACUGAUGAUGGUGGAAGUGAUGGUCAUGAUGGUGGAGAUGACAGUAAAGAUGGUGGAGGUGACGGUGAUGAUGGUGGAGAUGACGGUAAAGAUGGUGGAUGUGACUGUGAUGAUGGUGGAAGUGACGGUAAAGAUGGAGGUGACGGUAAAGAUGGUGGAGGUGACAGUAAAGAUGGUGGAGGUGACGGUAAAGAUGGUGGAAGUGAUGGUCAUGAUGGUGGAGAUGACGGUAAAGAUGGUGGAGGUGACGGUAAAGAUGGUGGAAGUGAUGGUAAAGAUGGUGGAGGUGAUGGUCAUGAUGGAGAUGACGGUAAAGAUGGUGGAGGUGACUGUGAUGAUGGUGGAAGUGAUGGUCAUGAUGGUGGAGAUGACGGUAAAGAUGGUGGAUGUGACUGUGAUGAUGGUGGAAGUGACGGUAAAGAUGGUGGAGGUGACGGUAAAGAUGGUGGAGGUGACUGAUGAUGGUGGAAGUGAUGGUCAUGAUGGUGGAGAUGACACUAAAGAUGGUGGAGGUGACUGUGAUGAUAGUGGAGGUGACAGUGAUGAUGGUGAUGUUGGUGAUGGUGGAGGUGACAGUGAUGAUGGUGAUACUGGUGAUGGUGGAGGUGACGGUGAUGAUGGUGGUGUUGGUGAUGAUGGUGGUGUUGGUGAUGAUGGGAUGAAGGUAAUGGUGAUGACCUUCAUGAU
rnacentral:lncRNA from 1 species